rnacentral:rRNA from 1 species
AUGGCCACCCUCUUCUCCACCGCGCUCUCGCACCACUUCAUCCCUCUCCUCCGCUGCCUCCUUUUCCUGCGGCCCGCUGCACGCCGUGUCGGCACUGCUGGCAGCGCGGAGGGGGCUCCUGCUGCCCGUGGCCAUGGGGGACGCCGGGGGGGACAGAGCGAGGGCGCCGGGGGAGGAUCUGCCAUUCCCGGUGAUGGCGUGACAGAGGAGGAGCUGAGCUGUUGUGCGCGCCGGACAAGGAGCUCAAAUCUUUCUCCGGGAGGCAACGCACAGGAAGUAGCAGCUGAGCCAGAGGAGACGCAUGGGAGGGAACGUGCCGUUGCCGUCCGCCUAACACCCCCGCUUCUUCUCCGCCGUCGGUGUCGUCCCCAUGAUUCAGCUGUUCUCUCACCAGAUCUGAAUGAACAGGGCAUCUCAAAGGUUCAUUCUCUAGCUAAUGGGUGCAUCUGCAUCGGGCAACCCAACGUCUUCACCAUUAUUGAGCUGAUCAAUCUUCACAUCUAA